rnacentral:rRNA from 1 species
GACGAACGCUGGCGGCGUGCUUAACACAUGCAAGUCGAACGGAAAGGCCCUGCUUUUGUGGGGUGCUCGAGUGGCGAACGGGUGAGUAACACGUGAGUAACCUGCCCUUGACUUUGGGAUAACUUCAGGAAACUGGGGCUAAUACCUGAUAGGAGCUCCUGCUGCAUGGUGGGGGUUGGAAAGUUUCGGCGGUUGGGGAUGGACUCGCGGCUUAUCAGCUUGUUGGUGGGGUAGUGGCUUACCAAGGCUUUGACGGGUAGCCGGCCUGAGAGGGUGACCGGCAAAAAUGGGACUGAGAUACGGCCCAGAGUCCUACGGGAGGCAGCAGUGGGGAAUAUUGCACAAUGGGCGGAAGCCUGAUGCAGAAACGCCGCGUGCGGGAUGAAGGCCUUCGGGUUGUAAACCGCUUUAGCCUGUGACGAAGCGUGAGUGACGGUAAUGGGUAAAGAAGCACCGGCUAACUACGUG